UUGCUAUGGUAUCCGGGGUGGUUGCUAAGGUGUUGCUAGGUGGUUGCUAGGGUGUUGCUAGGCGGUUGCUAAGGUGUUGCUAUGGUAUCCGGGGGGGUUGCUAAGGUGUUGCUAGCCGGUUGCUAAGGUGUUGCUAUGGUAUCCGGGGUGGUUGCUAAGGUGUUGCUAGGUGGUUGCUAGGGUGUUGCUAGGCGGUUGCUAAGGUGUUGCUAUGGUAUCCGGGGUGGUUGCUAAGGUGUUGCUAGGUGGUUGCUAGGUGGUUGCUAGGGUGUUGCUAGGCGGUUGCUAAGGUGUUGCUAUGGUAUCCGGGGGGGUUGCUAAGGUGUUGCUAGGUGGUUGCUAGGUGGUUGCUAAGGUGUUGCUAGGCGGUUGCUAAGGUGUUGCUAUGGUAUCCGGGGUGGUUGCUAAGGUGUUGCUAGGUGGUUGCUAGGUGGUUGCUAGGGUGUUGCUAGGCGGUUGCUAAGGUGUUGCUAUGGUAUCCGGGGUGGUUGCUAAGGUGUUGCUAGGUGGUUGCUAGGUGGUUGCUAAGGUGUUGCUAGGCGGUUGCUAAGGUGUUGCUAUGGUAUCCAGGGUGGUUGCUAAGGUGUUGCUAGGGUGUUGCUAGGCGGUUGCUAAGGUGUUGCUAUGUAUCCGGGGUGGUUGCUAAGGUGUUGCUAGGUGGUUGCUAGGGUGUUGCUAGGCGGUUGCUAAGGUGUUGCUAUGGUAUC